rnacentral:misc_RNA from 1 species
GAAAUUUAUACGCUUCACAACAUAUCAGGACAGGAACUCGGAAUGAAUGAGCAACCAUAGCAACACUCGCUGUUCCAACCCUUGAAUAAACAGUUCCAUUGGACAAAACUGAUGAAGCACCCAAAAGUACUCUUGUAACUUCAUGCAUGAUAUAAGAAAUGGCAUUUAUAUGAGUGUAUGUACACUUAACACCCUUCCCCACCAACCGACGAAGUAGUAAUCUCCCUUCAAGCUUUGGACGUGAGUCAACUACUAUGACACGGAAAUCCUUGCCAAGCUCAUGCGCAUGUAACAGAAUCAUUUCAACAGCAGAGGAGGAUCCAUAAGUGAGAAGAACGUCACCAUCACUUAUUUUAGUUACCGCAUGCUUGACUAUCACCUUGUCUGCAAGUAUUAUCUUUUCACUUAUGAAGUGAUCAAUAUCUGUCACAAGAGUGGUUUUAGCUUCUGACUCUGACAAAGUCAAAGGCAAUUUCGCAAUUCUAGUUUUAAGGAACCUAAUAGCAUUCCCCAUG